UUCCUAUAUUAUACAUUUAAGUUGAUGGCUUAGAAUUUAAGCAUUCUGAGCAACCCUGAAAUGAAAGGCUCAUAAAAACCAUUAC